UUAAGUUAUUAAGGGCGCACGGUGGAUGCCUUGGCACUAGAAGCCGAUGAAGGACGUUACUAACGACGAUAUGCUUUGGGGAGCUGUAAGUAAGCUUUGAUCCAGAGAUUUCCGAAUGGGGAAACCCAGCAUGAGUUAUGUCAUGUUAUCGAUAUGUGAAUACAUAGCAUAUCAGAAGGCACACCCGGAGAACUGAAACAUCUUAGUACCCGGAGGAAGAGAAAGAAAAUUCGAUUCCCUUAGUAGCGGCGAGCGAAACGGGAAGAGCCCAAACCAAAAAGCUUGCUUGUUGGGGUUGUAGGACACUCUAUACGGAGUUACAAAGGACGACAUUAGACGAAUCAUCUGGAAAGAUGAAUCAAAGAAGGUAAUAAUCCUGUAGUCGAAAAUGUUGUCUCUCUUGAGUGGAUCCUGAGUACGACGGAGCACGUGAAAUUCCGUCGGAAUCUGGGAGGACCAUCUCCUAAGGCUAAAUACUCUCUAGUGACCGAUAGUGAACCAGUACCGUGAGGGAAAGGUGAAAAGCACCCCGGAAGGAGAGUGAAAUAGAACCUGAAACCGUGUGCUUACAAGUAGUCAGAGCCCGUUAAUGGGUGAUGGCGUGCCUUUUGUAGAAUGAACCGGCGAGUUACGAUUUGAUGCAAGGUUAAGCAGUAAAUGUGGAGCCGUAGCGAAAGCGAGUCUGAAUAGGGCGUUUAGUAUUUGGUCGUAGACCCGAAACCAGGUGAUCUACCCUUGGUCAGGUUGAAGUUCAGGUAACACUGAAUGGAGGACCGAACCGACUUACGUUGAAAAGUGAGCGGAUGAACUGAGGGUAGCGGAGAAAUUCCAAUCGAACCUGGAGAUAGCUGGUUCUCUCCGAAAUAGCUUUAGGGCUAGCCUCAAGUGAUGAUUAUUGGAGGUAGAGCACUGUUUGGACGAGGGGCCCCUCUCGGGUUACCGAAUUCAGACAAACUCCGAAUGCCAAUUAAUUUAACUUGGGAGUCAGAACAUGGGUGAUAAGGUCCGUGUUCGAAAGGGAAACAGCCCAGACCACCAGCUAAGGUCCCAAAAUAUAUGUUAAGUGGAAAAGGAUGUGGCGUUGCCCAGACAACUAGGAUGUUGGCUUAGAAGCAGCCAUCAUUUAAAGAGUGCGUAAUAGCUCACUAGUCGAGUGACACUGCGCCGAAAAUGUACCGGGGCUAAACAUAUUACCGAAGCUGUGGAUUGUCCUUUGGACAAUGGUAGGAGAGCGUUCUAAGGGCGUUGAAGCAUGAUCGUAAGGACAUGUGGAGCGCUUAGAAGUGAGAAUGCCGGUGUGAGUAGCGAAAGACGGGUGAGAAUCCCGUCCACCGAUUGACUAAGGUUUCCAGAGGAAGGCUCGUCCGCUCUGGGUUAGUCGGGUCCUAAGCUGAGGCCGACAGGCGUAGGCGAUGGAUAACAGGUUGAUAUUCCUGUACCACCUAUAAUCGUUUUAAUCGAUGGGGGGACGCAGUAGGAUAGGCGAAGCGUGCGAUUGGAUUGCACGUCUAAGCAGUAAGGCUGAGUAUUAGGCAAAUCCGGUACUCGUUAAGGCUGAGCUGUGAUGGGGAGAAGACAUUGUGUCUUCGAGUCGUUGAUUUCACACUGCCGAGAAAAGCCUCUAGAUAGAAAAUAGGUGCCCGUACCGCAAACCGACACAGGUAGUCAAGAUGAGAAUUCUAAGGUGAGCGAGCGAACUCUCGUUAAGGAACUCGGCAAAAUGACCCCGUAACUUCGGGAGAAGGGGUGCUCUUUAGGGUUAACGCCCAGAAGAGCCGCAGUGAAUAGGCCCAAGCGACUGUUUAUCAAAAACACAGGUCUCUGCUAAACCGUAAGGUGAUGUAUAGGGGCUGACGCCUGCCCGGUGCUGGAAGGUUAAGAGGAGUGGUUAGCUUCUGCGAAGCUACGAAUCGAAGCCCCAGUAAACGGCGGCCGUAACUAUAACGGUCCUAAGGUAGCGAAAUUCCUUGUCGGGUAAGUUCCGACCCGCACGAAAGGCGUAACGAUUUGGGCACUGUCUCAACGAGAGACUCGGUGAAAUCAUAGUACCUGUGAAGAUGCAGGUUACCCGCGACAGGACGGAAAGACCCCGUGGAGCUUUACUGUAGCCUGAUAUUGAAAUUCGGCACAGCUUGUACAGGAUAGGUAGGAGCCUUUGAAACGUGAGCGCUAGCUUACGUGGAGGCGCUGGUGGGAUACUACCCUAGCUGUGUUGGCUUUCUAACCCGCACCACUUAUCGUGGUGGGAGACAGUGUCAGGCGGGCAGUUUGACUGGGGCGGUCGCCUCCUAAAAGGUAACGGAGGCGCUCAAAGGUUCCCUCAGAAUGGUUGGAAAUCAUUCAUAGAGUGUAAA
rnacentral:rRNA from 6 species